rnacentral:misc_RNA from 1 species
AACCAUAGAAACCUGCGGAGUACCUGCGGAGGGAUCAUUACAAGGAUCGUGGCUGACGGCACCUAUUCAAUAGGCCGCGUCCAGCCCCGCUCUCUCCCUUGCCUACUGCACCGUUUGUUGCUUCCUGGCGGCGGGUUGCCGCCAGGUCCUUUAGAAAACCAAAGUAUAAGCAUUGAAACUCCUGACAUGCACUAAAUCGUACAACUUUCAACAACGGAUCU